rnacentral:rRNA from 1 species
GAUGAACGCUGGCGGCGUGCCUAAUACAUGCAAGUCGAGCGGCAGCACGGUCUUCGGACUGGUGGCGAGCGGCGGACGGCUGAGUAACGCGUAGGAAUAUACCCCAAAGUGAGGGAUAACUGCCCGAAAGGUGCUAAUACCGCAUGUGGUCUUCGGACUAAAGCCUUCGGGCGCUUUGGGAAUAGCCUGCGUAAGAUUAGCUAGUUGGUGAGGUAAUGGCUCACCAAGGCGACGAUCUUUAGCUGGUCUGAGAGGAUGACCAGCCAGACUGGAACUGAGACACGGUCCAGACUCCUACGGAGGCAGCAGUAGGGAAUUUUCCACAAUGGGCGAAAGCCUGAUGGAGCAACGCCGCGUGCAGGAUGAAGGCCCUCAGGUCGUAAACUGCUUUAUGUGCGAAGAAUAAUGACGGUAACACAAUGAAU